UCAUCUAACGUCAGGGCUCUUCGUGCUGAUCCCGCCCACUGCAGUUUUAAACCAGCGGUUCCAGGGUUCUCCUGGCCUCUCUCGGCCCCACACCCCGGAGCUGGCGAGGCCUGCAGCGAAGAUAGAGAGGAAACCCGGAAGUGGUGAGGACGUCCGAGCACGUGAUGGGGGAACCCGCCGGCGCCGUCACGUGACUCGCCGACCUGCUGCUCCGCGGUGCGGAAUGUUCAGCUGCUCUUAAAGGGCACAGACCCUCCCGGUCCCUGUCCCAUCGGAGCCGACUCCGAACGUGCGCUGACUUUGGACCCCUGGGGACCCUGAACUUGAUGCCAUGGGAGGCAGCGCGGGCUCGCAGCGACGCCUUUCAGACUCCGAGGGAGAGGUGACGGCCCAGGAACCUCGGGAACCUCGGCCCCCGCCGCCGGACCGGCAGGGCGCCCAUUGGAAGAACGCGAUGGGCUUCUGGCUCUUGGGCCUUUGCAACAACUUCUCUUACGUGGUGAUGCUCAGUGCUGCUCAUGACAUCCUCAGCCACAAGAGGGCAUCUGGAAACCAAAGCCAUGUAGACCCAGGCCCAGCCCCCACCCCCCACAAUAACUCAUCUCGCUUUGACUGCAACUCUGUCUCCACAGCUGCGGUGCUCCUGGCAGACAUCCUCCCCACGCUCGUCAUCAAAUUGCUGGCUCCCCUUGGCCUUCAUCUGCUGCCCUACAGCCCCCGGGUUCUCUUCAGUGGGGUUUGUGCAGCUGGAAGCUUCAUCCUGGUUGCAUUUUCCCACUCGGUGGUGACCAGCCUGUGUGGUGUGGUCUUGGCUAGCAUCUCAUCAGGCCUGGGGGAGGUCACCUUCCUCUCACUCACCGCCUUCUACCCCAGGGCUGUGAUCUCCUGGUGGUCCUCAGGUACUGGAGGAGCAGGGCUGCUGGGGGCAUUGUCCUACCUGGGCCUCACCCAGGUGGGCCUCUCCCCCCAGCACACCCUGCUGUCCAUGCUGGGCAUCCCCGCCUUGCUGCUGGCCAGCUAUUUCUUUUUGCUCACAUCGCCCGGGCCCCAGGACCCUGGAGGGGAAGAAGAGGCAGAGAGGGCAGCUCGGCAGCCCCUGAUGAGCAGCGAGGCGCCCGAGGCCCCCGAGUGGAAGCCAGACUCCAGCCCAGGCCUCUCCCUUCAGGAGAAGUGGACUGUGUUCAAGGGCCUGCAGUGUUACAUCCUCCCGUUGGUCCUGGUCUACUUUGCUGAGUACUUCAUCAAUCAGGGGCUUUUUGAGCUCCUCUUCUUCCGGAACACGUCCCUGAGUCACGCUCAGCAGUACCGCUGGUACCAGAUGCUGUACCAGGCCGGCGUCUUUGCCUCCCGCUCCUCUCUUCGCUGCUUUCGCAUCCAGUUCACAUGGGCCCUGGCCCUGCUGCAGGCUCAGCCCUGCCCUCCACCUGCACCCACAGUGCUUCAACCUGGUCUUCCUGCUGGCGGACGUACUGCUGAGCUUCCUUCCGAGCAUCUACAUCGUCUUCCUGGUCGUUCUGUAUGAGGGGCUCCUGGGGGGUGCUGCCUACGUGAACACCUUCCACAACAUCGCCCUGGAGACCAGUGACGAGCACCGGGAAUUUGCCAUGGCAACCGCCUGUGUGUCCGACACCUUGGGGAUCUCCCUGUCAGGGCUCCUGGCCCUGCCCCUGCACGACUUCCUCUGCCAUCUCUCCUGACGCUGGGCUUGGGACACAGGACGCGCUGGCAGAUGGGCAGGCCAGACCCCGGGCCCACAGCCCAGGGCCCGGCCAUGAGCUCUGCCCCUGGACUUCCCGGCACAGCUGGGCUGUAGAGAAGCACCGGGUUCCGUCCGCCCUUGGUCAGGGGGCAGCAGCUUUCUCCCACUCCACACUGAUCUCGGGGACUUUCUUCUGGGCGUUAUGCCCUUGGAAUAAAUGCCUAUAUUUAUCGAUUGA